rnacentral:lncRNA from 1 species
AUGUCAGAAUCUGUUCUGGAUGAUUCAACUGACAACUUUGAAAUCUCAGGGACAAUUGAACCACCUGUACAAAAUGUGAAAACUUGUGAGUUACUUGUGAAAAGUUCUGAAGGAUUCGAAAUGCCUUUAUUCACAUCCCAUCAAACCUCUGAUGGUAGAUGCAAGACUGCAGUGAGCAGUGGAGAACAAAAAAAAGUAAAGCAAGCACUAUAUUGUCAGUUUUGUGAGAAGGCAUGUAGAAAGAUAGAACUGCACCUGAAGUGUGUUCACGCAAAAGAACCUGAAGUGGUAAAAGCUUUAAAUCUUGACACAGACUGUAAAGAAAGGAAACCGUUAUUGAGCAGUUUUGCUAUUAAAAAGAACUUCAACCAACCUAGAGAUUCUCGAAUCGAUUGUGAUGAAGAUGUUCACUGCAUUUUUUGCCAUGAGUCUUUUGGAUGGAACAGAUUUCGGGAGCAUGCUCUUAUAUGUAAGCAUAACAUGAAUCCAGCUGCAUCCAGCAAAACUCAGGAAAUGUUUCAUGCAGAAUUGGAAAAUCUUGCUCCAGACACUAUCAGCAUCUCCAGACCUUUAGAGCCACCUAAUGCUCCUGUGUCAAAUCUCUCAGAUUUACGUGAUCGCCCUAUACCAGAAACUAGGAUAUGUGAGGCGAAGGAGAACCAUACUUUAGUGUCAGAUCAUUCCCAAAUUCUAUGCACUAGUGACAGCCCAGCACAGAAGGUUUGUGAUCCGAAAUCCUCAAGCCCUCCUCAUCUUGACUCUUGCCAGGGUGCGGCUCCAAAAACCUAUUAUCCAGAAGUGAAGGGGCCAACUGUUUCUAACAUUGACAGCAUUAUAGCUCAAAUUGAUCUUGAUGCACAAUUAUUAAAGCCAUCUGGUCUAGAUUCUUGCCAAUGUUCUGCAAUAAAUCCUCCUUAUUUGGAAUCUUCAUUCAGUACAUCACGGAACCCUGAUGUGGAGAUACUUGAACCUCCCAUACUAGAUUCCUGUCAAUCAAUACGAGUCGUAGAAUCUACAGUUCAAACCCUUCCUUUUUCAAACACUGGUUGCAAUGUUCUUCAGCUGUCCCUUAUAAAACAAUCAGAUCAUCUCAGACUUGUGAACCAACCAUUUUCUUCAGAUCCAGAGGUGUCUUGUGAUUUAGAACCUGAUGGUUAUUCUUCUUGUGAUACUGGGUGUUGUGACAGCCUUCAGCUUUCUUCAAAACCAAAGGUUGCUUCACGUCCUGCACCCUUAAACUCUUCUUCAGAAUGCAAUGCAGAUUCAAAGUGUACUCUUAAGCUAGCUGUGUUUGAUGAUACGUAUUUGGGCACUAAUGAGACAGAGCAAACCCAAGAUUCAGCUGUAGAAAGGAACAUCUUCACGGUCUCAGGCAGCUCUGAUGUGCAUCUAAAACCUGAAAGUCACCAUACUCCAGAUCCUAAUAGCUAUAACGUUGAACAAACCCAGUGUCAGCAGCCUGAAAGUAUUGAAAAUCCAGAUGCUGGCAGGAGUGGGAAUCAGCCAACAGCUGAUCUAGAAUUAAAGUCAGUUCCUUCUAUUCAAGAAAUCAAAUCCAGAGCCGUAGGACACAUGUCUUACCUUAAAUUCCAAGAGUGUGAUCUUCAACAAGACCCUGAGAAGAUCACUGAUGAGAAUGGCAUUGAUUGUGCUGUUGAAGUUCAACAUGACUCAAGCAUAUCAGUGACAAGCAAGCAAAAGAGAAAAAGAGUCUACCAGAUUAGCCGUCUGAAAGAGGAGUCAAAGAAAAGUUGUCAAAGUUCUCAUUCUCAGGGUCCUGGAUGCCAAACCAAUUCCACUGAUGACAACUCCAGCGUAUUCAAGAUACAUCACUGCUUUUACUGCAAGCAGCCACAUUAUAGAAUGAUGGAUCAUCUUCAGUCAGUUCAUGCUAAUGAACCAGAGGUGGCAAAAGCUCUUACCUUUGACAAGAGCUCAGAAGAAAGGAAACAACUUUUGAACCAUCUACAAACUAGGGGAAAUGUUCUACACAACACAAAUGUGGUUCAAAGUAGUAAACAAGGUUUAAAACCAUUUGGGAAGUUUGCAUCGGAGUGCUCAUUUGAUGAUAGUGUUUAUUGCAUCUACUGUUUAGGGUUAUUUAACAAGAAGUCUUUUGCUUCACAUUUAGAGCAGUGCAAGGGCAAAUCAACUCAAAGUGCUGAGGCUAGCUGUGGUGAAAUGCUUCCUGAUGCUGGGCCCAUUCCUCCAGCUCCUACACUUAUUUCCCCCUCUAGUCCAGAAGAGAUUGAUGCCAAUAUAGAACCAUCAGGUUUUCAUUGCCUAAAUACCAUCUAUGAAACAGAUUUUGAAAAUGAACAAGGAAGUACUUCCCUUCCAGACCUCAGCUGCAAUGUAGAGCAACCAGACAUCUCAAGUCCAAAUGAGGAGGUUAGAAACAAUAGACAGGCAGUGGGUGCCUUUUUACAAUUCAGACGUUCUCCUGAAAAUGAAGUAGGUUACGAAUUGAAGUCGGGUAAUUCUCCCAAUCCAAGCACUGGUCAAGAAUCAACAGACUGUAAGAAUGAAGGAGUAAGUCUCCCAAAGUGUGAUGUUGAUCAAGAAAGGGCAAUGACACCAACAUCAGACACCAGCUCCAUCAGUCCUCACCCAGAAUAUGAUGUUCUCAGAAAUCCAUGUGAUGAUUUCAGUCCACCUCAAAAUGCCCAAACUGUGUCUAAUGACACACACAAGAGUAGCGUGAAAGCCCAAACUUAUGGAACAGGGAUGAAGAGGAGGAAGUGGUGCUCACGUGUCCAUAAUCAGCCAUCAACAAAGAGUCCUGAGGAUUUACCAAAUGCUGUUACAGAUGACACAGGGGGAAAAGUUUCAGCCACAAAGCAAGACACAUAGGUGAGAGAGUUCCACUUUGAAGAAGCAGGACAGCAAAGUCAAAGACUAUGACACGGAUUGCGAGAAGUUAUUGUUUACAUCUUAGUGUUAUGUUUUUUCAAAACAUAUUUAUUUGUUUUUUAAAAUAUGUUUUACAAUGUUGUCUCAAUCUAAUGGGUUCCAUACUUUUCCGGUAUGAUUAAUUUCAGCCUGCUGUAUUGUACAGAUCUUAGCAUAUGUUUAAUAAAUAACUCCAGAUUGAGAAUAAAAAAAAGUUAGAGGAAUCUAAGGAUAUAUUGGUCUUUUUUUUGGUAUCUGAUAUGUGACUUAAGGCAGUUUUCAGUUACUCAUUCCAAAGCUGAGACACUAGACAUAACAGCCGUUACUCCAGUCUUCAGAGUCACAUGAUCCUUCAGACAUUAUUCUAAUUUGCUGAUUUGGUGCUCAAGAAACAUUUCAUAUCAAUGUUGAAAACAGUUGUGCUGCCUAAUGUUUGUGUAAAUCAUGAUACUUUUUUUGAAGAUUCUUUUAUGAAUAGAAAAUAUAAAAAACAAACAACAGCAU